CCUACGGGGGGCUGCAGUGGGGAAUAUUGGACAAUGGGCGAAAGCCUGAUCCAGCCAUGCCGCGUGUGUGAAGAAGGCCUUCGGGUUGUAAAGCACUUUCAGUGGGGAAGAAAGCCUUGGGGCUAAUACCCUCGAGGAAGGACAUCACCCACAGAAGAAGCACCGGCUAACUCCGUGCCAGCAGCCGCGGUAAUACGGAGGGUGCGAGCGUUAAUCGGAAUUACUGGGCGUAAAGCGCGCGUAGGCGGUCUGAUAAGCCGGUUGUGAAAGCCCCGGGCUCAACCUGGGAACGGCAUCCGGAACUGUCAGGCUAGAGUGCAGGAGAGGAAGGUAGAAUUCCCGGUGUAGCGGUGAAAUGCGUAGAGAUCGGGAGGAAGACCAGUGGCGAAGGCGGCCUUCUGGACUGACACUGACGCUGAGGUGCGAAAGCGUGGGUAGCAAACAGGAUUAGAUACCCUAGUAGUC
rnacentral:rRNA from 1 species